AUUGAACGCUGGCGGCAUGCCUUACACAUGCAAGUCGAACGGCAGCACGGGGCAACCUGGUGGCGAGUGGCGAACGGGUGAGUAAUGCAUCGGAACGUACCUUUCAGUGGGGGAUAACGUAGCGAAAGUUACGCUAAUACCGCAUAUUCUGUGAGCAGGAAAGCAGGGGAUCGCAAGACCUUGCGCUGAUUGAGCGGCCGAUGUCAGAUUAGCUAGUUGGUGAGGUAAAGGCUCACCAAGGCGACGAUCUUCAGCGGGUCUGAGAGGAUGAUCCGCCACACUGGAACUGAGACACGGUCCAGACUCCUACGGGAGGCAGCAGUGGGGAAUUUUGGACAAUGGGGGCAACCCUGAUCCAGCCAUGCCGCGUGAGUGAAGAAGGCCUUCGGGUUGUAAAGCUCUUUCAGCCGGGAAGAAAUCGCACGGGCUAAUACCCUGUGUGGAUGACGGUGCCGGAAUAAGAAGCACCGGCUAACUACGUGCCAGCCGCCGCCGUAAAAC
rnacentral:rRNA from 1 species